AACGAACGCUGGCGGCAGGCUUAACACAUGCAAGUCGAACGCAUCCUUCAGGGUGAGUGGCAGACGGGUGAGUAACGCGUGGGAACGUGCCCUUCAGUUCGGGAUAACCCAGGGAAACUUGGGCUAAUACCGGAUACGUGCGAGAGCAGAAAGAUUUAUCGCUGAAGGAUCGGCCCGCGUCUGAUUAGUUAGUUGGUGGGGUAAUGGCCCACCAAGGCGACGAUCAGUAGCCGGUCUGAGAGGAUGAUCAGCCACAUUGGGACUGAGACACGGCCCAAACUCCUACGGGAGGCAGCAGUGGGGAAUAUUGGACAAUGGGCGCAAGCCUGAUCCAGCCAUGCCGCGUGAGUGAUGAAGGCCUUAGGGUUGUAAAGCUCUUUCGUCCGGGACGAUAAUGACGGUACCGGAAGAAGAAGCCCCGGCUAACUUCGUGCCAGCAGCCGCGGUAA
rnacentral:rRNA from 1 species